rnacentral:rRNA from 1 species
GAUGAACGCUGGCGGCGUGCCUAAUACAUGCAAGUCGAACGAACAGACGAGGAGCUUGCUCCUCUGACGUUAGCGGCGGACGGGUGAGUAACACGUGGAUAACCUACCUAUAAGACUGGGAUAACUUCGGGAAACCGGAGCUAAUACCGGAUAAUAUAUUGAACCGCAUGGUUCAAUAGUGAAAGACGGUUUUGCUGUCACUUAUAGAUGGAUCCGCGCCGCAUUAGCUAGUUGGUAAGGUAACGGCUUACCAAGGCAACGAUGCGUAGCCGACCUGAGAGGGUGAUCGGUCACACUGGAACUGAGACACGGUCCAGACUCCUACGGGAGGCAGCAGUAGGGAAUCUUCCGCAAUGGGCGAAAGCCUGACGGAGCAACGCCGCGUGAGUGAUGAAGGUCUUCGGAUCGUAAAACUCUGUUAUUAGGGAAGAACAAAUGUGUAAGUAACUAUGCACGUCUUGACGGUACCUAAUCAGAAAGCCACGGCUAACUACGUG